CUGAUCUUGUUCAUGGCAGGUUUAGCUCACAAGCCUAUCUUCUACUUGUUUCCUUGCAACAUCAUUUAGCUACUGCAUCUGUUAGCCACCCCUUCACUCAGAGGCAGCUGUGCAAAGAUUGAACCAUGUGAUCCUGAAAGCACAACACUGAAAGCUUCUGACUGUGCCAAGAGGAGAGAGUAGGGAAACAAAGGCCAAAGCCAGGGCCAAAGCCAGCUGCCAGGAACCCCCAUCUCCAACAGCAACACAGGAAAAUAAUAUUCUUCAUCAGCCAAUUCUCCUCAUCCCUGUUGAUUCUGCAGCUAGUUCAGCUAGGCUUUAAUCUUAAAGGUGAUGGAAGCUACUGAAGCACUAUGUGUCAUCUGUGGGCAGGUUGGUAUUUAUCCUCCAAAAUGUUAAUCAGGGCCUCUGCUAUUGUGCAGCUCCAGAGAACACCAUUUGCCUCAUGGCCUAUGUCAUACAAUAGGGGGCGCCUUUCACAUAUGGUACAAUGUAAAUGGUGCC